rnacentral:rRNA from 1 species
UACGUAGGGUGCAAGCGUUGUCCGGAAUUAUUGGGCGUAAAGAGCUCGUAGGCGGUCUGUUGCGUCGGCUGUGAAAACCCGGGGCUCAACUCCGGGCCUGCAGCCGAUACGGGCAGACUAGAGUGCGGCAGGGGAGACUGGAAUUCCUGGUGUAGCGGUGAAAUGCGCAGAUAUCAGGAGGAACACCGGUGGCGAAGGCGGGUCUCUGGGCCGAUACUGACGCUGAGGAGCGAAAGCGUGGGGAGCGAACAGG